UACGUAGGGUCCGAGCGUUGUCCGGAAUUAUUGGGCGUAAAGAGCUCGUAGGCGGUUUGUCGCGUCUGCUGUGAAAUCCCGAGGCUCAACCUCGGGUCUGCAGUGGGUACGGGCAGACUGGAGUGCGGUAGGGGAGAACGGAAUUCCUGGUGUAGCGGUGAAAUGCGCAGAUAUCAGGAGGAACACCGGUGGCGAAGGCGGCUUUCUGGACAGAUACCGACGCUGAGGCACGAAAGCUAGGGGAGCAAACAGG
rnacentral:rRNA from 1 species